CGAACGCUGGCGGCGUACUUAACACAUGCAAGUCGCACGAGAAAUUCCGAUUCGUCGGGAGAGUAAAGUGGCGAACGGGUGAGUAAUACGAGGGUAAUCUACCCUUAAAUUAGGGAUAACCUUGCGAAAGCGAAGCUAAUACCUGAUAAGACUACGAUCUUCUAGGAGAUAGUAGGAAAAGAUGGCCUCUGUUUCAUGCUAUUGUUUAAGGAUGAGCCCUUGCACUAUUAGCUUGUUGGUGGGGUAAUGGCCUACCAAGGCUACGAUGGUUAGCUGGUCUGAGAGGAUGAUCAGCCACACUGGAACUGAGACACGGUCCAGACUCCUACGGGAGGCAGCAGUGAGGAAUAUUGCGCAAUGGGGGAAACCCUGACGCAGUGACGCCGCGUGAGCGAUGAAGGCUUUCGAGUCGUAAAGCUCUGUUAGGUGGAAAGAAACAUUCCAGUGCCAAUACCACUGGAACUUGACGGUACCACCAGAGGAAGCACCGGCUAACUCC
rnacentral:rRNA from 1 species